rnacentral:rRNA from 1 species
UACGUAGGUGGCAAGCGUUAUCCGGAAUUAUUGGGCGUAAAGAGCGCGCAGGUGGUUAAUUAAGUCUGAUGUGAAAGCCCACGGCUUAACCGUGGAGGGUCAUUGGAAACUGGUUGACUUGAGUGCAGAAGAGGGAAGUGGAAUUCCAUGUGUAGCGGUGAAAUGCGUAGAGAUAUGGAGGAACACCAGUGGCGAAGGCGGCUUCCUGGUCUGCAACUGACACUGAGGCGCGAAAGCGUG